rnacentral:rRNA from 3 species
GGUUAAGCGACUAAGCGUACACGGUGGAUGCCCUGGCAGUCAGAGGCGAUGAAGGACGUGCUAAUCUGCGAUAAGCGCCGGUAAGGUGAUAUGAACCGUUAUAACCGGCGAUUUCCGAAUGGGGAAACCCAGUGUGACUCGUCACACUAUCAUUAACUGAAUCCAUAGGUUAAUGAGGCGAACCGGGGGAACUGAAACAUCUAAGUACCCCGAGGAAAAGAAAUCAACCGAGAUUCCCCCAGUAGCGGCGAGCGAACGGGGAGGAGCCCAGAGCCUGAAUCAGCAUGUGUGUUAGUGGAAGCGUCUGGAAAGGCGCGCGAUACAGGGUGACAGCCCCGUACACAAAAGCGCAUGUGUUGUGAGCUCGAUGAGUAGGGCGGGACACGUGGUAUCCUGUCUGAAUAUGGGGGGACCAUCCUCCAAGGCUAAAUACUCCUGACUGACCGAUAGUGAACCAGUACCGUGAGGGAAAGGCGAAAAGAACCCCGGCGAGGGGAGUGAAAAAGAACCUGAAACCGUGUACGUACAAGCAGUGGGAGCACCCUUC